rnacentral:rRNA from 1 species
UUUGGUGGCGAUAGCGAAGAGGUCACACUCGUUCCCAUGCCGAACACGAUCGUUAAGCUCUUCAGCGCCGAUGGUAGUUGGGGGUUUCCCCCUGUGAGAGUAGGACGUCGCCAAGC